CAAACUAAUAAGUAGGCUCAUGGCCAGCAGGUGUGGAGACUGGAGGCUGCCCUGUACUCAGGCUGUGAUGUUUUGUGUGCUCUCUCCAUGAGACUGCUUUGUACACUUGUGGCCCUGGCUGCUGACAUCCCUCCAAGACAGCGCUCGACAAUCAUUCAAGGUACAAGCCAGCGGCCUGCGAGCACUCUCCAGCAGCUCAUGGGGGUUUGAGUGUGCUUUCAACAAGGAAGUUACAUAGUAUAAAUCGCAGCUAAGCUGACAAUGGGUGCUCAGUCACCAGUGAGGAGCUCCUGUGCUUCAUUCAGUCUGCAACUAUGGGAUGAUUCACCCUCUCCACCGUAAGAAUGCUUUUAUUUUUUUGUGGGGAUCUAUCCUAUCUCCUGUCUUCAUAUGGGCUUACGCUUAAUGAAGAUGCUUCACAUCGAUGGAGUCUAAUCAGCAAAACUCUCUCUGUUGCUUACCUCAGUAAAUUUUCUUAUUCACCUUCA